rnacentral:lncRNA from 1 species
CAGCGCAGCUCUUAGCAUCUGAAUUCCGGCGUCGUUUCUCUCUUUGAGACGUAGCUCCGUCAAACCAGCCCACUUCGCCGGCGCAGCCAUUGAUUUCUCAAUUAAUUUCUUGCCGAAACUCAGUGUCCUAAUUUUCACUCAAUUUUACUUACGAUUUCUUGUGGUUUUUGUGCAAGGGCAUUUCAUUAUCCCAAUAUUGAGCAAAGCUCGAAAACUUAAGGGAAUUGGUUGUCGAGCAAUUGAUGAAGCUCUUGGAUUAUCAGUCGUAAAGGCAGAUGUUACCAUCCCAUCCAUCAUCGCAGGAGGAUGUCUAUAGCAUUCGCUCACGAACAUUAAGGCAACCGCUUACCUUUUGCCAGCGAUCCUCACGUCAGCGCAGGAACAUGGCAGUCGGCCCUUUCGACUCAACUGAACAGGGCAGCUGACCCUCCUCCAACAAAAGCUAAGUCCUCGCGUCUUCUCCUUUUAUUGCAUAAACACAAUGGUGAUUGCGUACUAGAUAACAUUUGUGGGGUUGUGAUUCUCUUAACUGUUUAUGAUGAGACGUGGAGUUUGCCACUUGCACUAAAGAGAUAGAUAUGGUGUUAUGCAACGAUGAUACUAAGCACUAGUUGAUACUACUAAACUGCUAUGUACUCGCUUUAUAAGCUAUAUGGUGGGAGUCCUUAUAGCCUUUGGUUCUAAAACCAAUGAGAUACAUUGAAUAUGAAUCAUGUUUAAACACUUGAAUAUUGGUUUAAUUGGUCGGGAUAUGGACAUAACAUGGUGUCAGAUGGGAUUUCGCUUAUAUAGCAGUGCUAAUUCUGCUCUAAACUGAUGAAGCAAUGUUGCAUGGAUGGUGAAUUGUUUAUUGUGACUUGCAUUAUUUUGGAAAUACUUUGUGGAUUUCUUGGAAUUAAAUUGAACUACCCUGACCUCACUAAUUCACUUACUGACAUCGAUUUGUUGAGGAACACAUUAUCUAAAUUUUUGAACUGAAAUUUACACUCAUGUUACCUAAAUUAUGAGAAAUUGAUGUGGCAGCGUUGUUUUGUGUUUUUCUAUACUCUCAGAGCAGAGCUGGUGUUGGAGCUAGGAGCUUGUUGAACUUCCAAGUGUCAUAUUGGACAAGUCUUCAAUUUGGCUGUUACGGCACUCCAGCCUGCGAGCUUUAUUAAAGUCUUGAUACGAAGAGGUUUUCCAGUAUCACAAGAAGCACAGGAAUAAGCUGUCAGUUUCCAACCAUGACCCAGCACCGUUAUUCAGCGCAGGAAGAGGCUGUCAGUUUCCCACGCUGACUCAGCAUCAUUAUUCAGCGCAGUAAAAGGUUGCCGGGUUCCAGCGUUGCUUGGGAAUUCUCAGCGAAACGAAGGAAUAUGCUGCGCAGGUAGGGAGAGAGGUAGUUCAUCGGCUCGCCGAAGCAGCGCAGGGAAGGAGAGAGCAGCUCAUCAACUACACUGGUGCAGUACGCUGAUGCAGCGCAGGUAGGGAGAGAGGUAGUUCAUCGGCUCGCCGAAGCAGCGCAGGGCAGGAGAGGGCAGCUCAUCGACUGCGCUGCUGCAGUGCACUGACGCAUCGCAGAGAGGGAGAAGGGAAGUUCAUCAGCUCGCUGAGUAUUAAGCUCUCAGUGUUCAGUGCUACAUUCAAUAUUUUAUCAAAUGCAUAUUUCCUGUGGGUGGUGAAAUUCAUAUCAGUCUACUACUCUUUAUUUUUGGGUACUUAGUAAGUUGAUGGAAUUGUGAUUUUUUAACUUGGGAUUCAAUUAAAUUUGCAACGCAUUUUCUUGUGAAAAUGGAUCAUGGUUGGGGUAAAUGAAAUGUAAUUGUUGUUAUUGCUGAUAUCUUGUUGUGGUGGAAUUCAACUCUUAAAUCUGGACAGGACCAAACGAAUGAUGAUUUAAAAUUUAUUUCUUAUUCAUAUGAGAAUAUGUUACGAAGUUGAAAACUAAUUGUGAUUGUUCGUUGAUGAAUGCGAGGAUCAUGCGAAGGAAGAUACAACAGCAAAGGAAAAGGAGGAAUUAGUGGAAUAACAAGAUGAAGUAAAAUUAUUAAGCUGCGCAGGAAUGAAAGCAAGAAGAGUUACUAAAGCUGCGCUGCAUAAUUUUCUAAGCGGUGCUGCGGGAUAUCUAAGUUGGUCUUCAACACAGGAACUCUACAUCCCAGCACAGAAUGUCUAAGCCGUAAUGUAACAAAGGUAACCCACUAACUAGUGGUGAUCCAGGUACUUCGCAGAACUGAAAUUUCUCACUACAUGAUCUUAAGGUGUCUCAUCGAAGCAUGUAAGUAUGAAUGAAACAUGAUGUUAAGUUACUUCACCAAAGCAUGUAAGUAUGAAACAUGAUCUUAAGUUAUUUCAUCGAAGCAUGUAAGCAUGAUUGAGAUUUGGGAAAUGUUAUACUUUACCACUUGAGAAAAAUCAUGAUUUAAAUUAUCUCUUGAAGGGAUUUGAGAAUUUGAUAUUAUGUCUUGGAAGCUGCACACCUUCUGCAUAUGUGCCUAGGUCUGAAACAUGAAUUGACUAAGUAUACGAAGCUGCACACCUUCUGCAUAUGUGCUAGAGCCUGGAACAUAAUUUAGAUAACAUACUUUGGGAUCAUAGAGUCAUACUAGCUCUGUCACUAGCAUCACAAGUAGGAACACCAAUCACAAGCAUACACAUAACAUGUUUUGUUGAAUCAUGCACAUGUUACUAAGAGGGAGGGAGUGGGAUAUAUGUUGCCAUCUGUAUUUUUCUUGAAAAUUUACAGCACAACAAUAAUUGUUGACAACGCUGGAAAACCUGCUUCGGCAGAAAAUGAGCUUUAGUGGCAAUUCAGCCACGCUACGGAGGGGAAAGCCUUAAGCAGAAUUUGGGUCUUCUCAGCGCAGUCAGGAUAUUUAUCUCAGCUACCUCUGCGGCAGCUCACCUCAGGGCAGCUAUCUCAGCUAUCUCAGAGCAGCUAUCUAGUUAUCUCAGCUACCUCAGGGCAGCUACCUCAGCGCAGUUAUCUCAGCGCAGUCAGGACAUUUAUCUCAGCGCAGCUAUCUCAGUUAUCUCAGUAGUUUUCAGCGCAGAAUGUCCGAGCCGUUGUCAGUUCAGAAUGUCUAUGCUCCGCGCAGGAAUAUCGUAAGCCGCGAAAGUUAGACAGGGUUCUUUGAUUGUCUAUGCUCCGCGCAGGAAUAUCGUAAGCCGCGAAAGUUAGACAGGGGUGUACCAUCUUAAGGGCCGCGUUGCGGAAGUGUACCAUCUUAAGGGCCGCGUUGCGGAAGUGUAAUCUUAAGGGCCGCGUUGCGGAAGUGUACCAUCUUAAGGGCCGCGUUGCGGAAGUGUACCAUCUUAAGGGCCGCGUUGCGGAAGUGUACCAUCUUAAGGGCCGCGUUGCGGAAGUGUAUCAUCUUUGUCAGUGCAGGUAGUGCAGCGCAGUCAGCGCGGGGUUGUCAGCGCAGUCGGUGCAGCGCAGUCAGCGCGAGGUUGUCAACGCAGAUCACUUGAGUCUUCCCAGCACAGGUUAUCUAAGCCCUUAUUAUCUUUAAUGAUGUUCGACGAAUCAAAAGGAAUAAUUGCUAUCUCUUUUAUCUCAGCUUAUUUCCAGCAUUAAAAUACUUUGUCUUUAUCAUUUUUGCAAAGAUUGACAGUUCUUGUCUAAUAAGUCGCAGGGAAUCGUGUAUGCUUAAUUGACACGGGAGAGCAGCACAGCGCUGACUUCACACCACACACCACUAGUUGAACAAAGAGAACGCUGUUCAACUAGACUAGGGGGGAGUAGCUGAUGAGGACUGUAAUUCCCAUCAGCGCUGUGCUUAGCAAUCUAAGCCUAUUUUACCUUAUUAUUACUAUUAUUAUUAUUAUUACAGAAACUAACAGCGCAGGUACGAUCGGAUAUCUUAGAUAAAAGAGUAAGAAAUCCACCUAAGUAGAUGGAGUGAAGAAUGAUUGCACACAGAAACCUUCCCACGCAGCCAAGGUGCCUUCCUGCGCAGCCAAGUAGCUUUCCCGUGCAGCCGCGCAGCCAAACCAGAGCAGCGCAGCAGAGCAAGCAGCGCAGACAGAGCAGAGCAGCGCAGACCAGAGCAGAGCAGCGCAGACCAGAGCAGCGCAGCAGCCCUGCGCAGACAGAGCAGCGCCACCAAAGUGCCUUUCCUGCGCAGCUACGUAUGAUAGUUCAACUUCGGGAAUAAGACCAUUGUACUGAGUUUUGGGCCCAAUUGACUAGAUGAGUGGGCUUUUUAGAAUUAGGGCUUGCUCACAAACUAUAAAUAGCACAUCUAUUGGAAAACUAGAGGAUCAACUCAUUUCAAGCAACACACUUGUAAUAUGUAACACUCUCUCAAGUAUAGUGAAACCAACGAAGAACCUCCCGUGGACGUAGGUCUUGAUGGCCGAACCACGUAAAUCCGUGUGUCAUUUAUCGCUUUCUAAUUUCUAGUUUAGGUGUUGGUGAUUCCGUGCUUCACCAACUGGCGCCGUCUGUGGGAAAAUCGAGCUAAGGCGUGAGAUUCAUGGUUUUCCAGUCACUGUUCACCGGUUUACUGUUCAUCGAAAAAAAAAUGGAAAUCUCAGCUCCAAUUCAGGAAAAUCGGGAGAAACUUGCACAGAUCCAGAUCGGAUUAAGAAAAUUCAGAAAGGGCUUAUGGUUUCCCGGAUCCAGAAAGGGCUUAGGGUUUUACUUGAUUGAAAUUAAGAAAAUUGCUAGAUCAGUUCAUUCCGCAAGGGAAAAAGAGGAAUUCGAAUCAUGUCCGUGGUGCUCCUUCAUUCUCCAUAUUCUCCGGCCGGAUUCCUUCAAUCCUCCGGCGACAAUCACUGGGUGCCGCCCACCGCCGCCGCGCAGGAGCUGCGCAUACCACCGGCCACAGGCCAACUCAGUGGAAUAACUCGAGGACAAGAAGCCCAGUGGAAUCCCUCCAUCAGCGGAGAUCGCUGAAAUAACCGCCGCCCACUCAGAAAAUCCGACAGCCACCGCCGCAACUCUUGAAUCCAGCGAGGCCAGAGCCGGUCGUCGUCCCACUUGAGCCCGAAUCCAGCGAAGAAAAUUUCAAAUCUCGCAGCAAUUCCCGAUUUCCAGAAACAAAAUCUAACCCCAAAAGCUUUUCUAAAUCCUCUCAUUUGAAAUUUCUUAAGGGAAGUUUUCAGAAAUCUUCUAUGUCACUUUCUCUUGCUAAAGGCACAUGUCUCUCUCUUUCAGGAAGAGAAAAAACUGCCACGAAAACCUUGAAGAUUAUACGAAGAAUUUUGGGGAAAAUAAUGCUUGGGCCGGGUCCGAUCACCGCCGCCCUCCUCCGGCUGAGCACCGAAGAAGCUCUCCACAGGUGGUAAAAGACCUGCCACACUCCGCCAGCAAGGGCAGGCGAGGUUCGCCGUUCCGCUGUAUGCUCGACUGAACAACGCAGCAUGAUCUUCCCCUCCCUAAGCUAAGGCUUUGUUGAAGUGCGAAAAAGAAUUUCAAUUUAGCUGUUGCGUCUUCGCUGACGAGGAAAGAUAAGUUAUCGAUAUCUCUAAAUUUGGUUUCAUCUUGAAGUGAUCAGGGAAGGAUCAAGUCGAAAUUGUGUUUUGCGGUUAUUCUCUUUUUGCAAUCUGUUGAUUUCAUUUUUUAUGAUGCAAUAUACUAAAUGAUGCAUUUGCCUCUUUGAGACUUGAUUAUGGGGUUGUAGUAAGAUGGACUAUUUCGUUGGUAUUGGGGGAUUUUAUCUAAUUCUUAAGACGAAAGUUUGAUGGUCUAUUGAGCAUGUUUGUAUGAUUGUUGGAAGGGAUAAGACAAAAUGUUGAUUGGUAUAUGUGUUUUCUAAUUACCUGUGGCUUCGAAGAAAGUUUGGAAGUUAUUCGUUGUUUCACGAUUUCUUGAUUAUGUUUAUCUUACGAGCUGCACAUUUGGUUUUUUACUCGGGCUAUGAAUAACGUUUAAUUAUCGUGGGACAUAGGUGCUGAUCCGGGCAUGAUAAAGUGCUCAAAGAGUGGAGUAUCUGGUGGUUAACAGUGUUGAUUAUACUUUAAAUUUGUAAAGUCAGUUUUUCAUUGAAUUAUGAAUCAUUUACUAUGACCUCGUAGCAUGUGAUUGUUACAAGCCUAACUUGGAUCGCUUAAUGAAUAUAUGGGUGGACUUGUUGUAUGAAUAAAGUCGGAUUGAUAUCCUAGACUUGGUUGAUUUUAUCUUUACAUGACUGGGAUCUAUUUCUGAAAUUUUGCUUAUACAUUUAUGCUAAGCUAGUUAUUGUUAGUCUGUCAUGAAUAUCGAUCUGUGGGAUUAUGUUUGAUUACGUUGCUUAAAGCCUACUAUUUAGGAUCUGAAUAUGUAGUUUAAAUAUCAACGUUGACUAUUCUUUUAAUAGUACCAGCGCAUGAAUUAUAUAUAUAUCUAUGUACAGAUUCCUGAGUUUAUGAGCUUGAUAUAGCGGUGGUUUGGCUCAAAGUUUGGACUGAUGGUUAUGAUUUGGCUUUGAUCUUAGCUCAGCGCUGAAGAGGGCAGCGCAGGCGAGGGCCUUUGAGGGCAGCGCAAGCAUGGUGGUAAUCCUCGAGGGCAGCGCGCGCAGGUUCAUGGGUUCAUGGAGACGCACCAGAGGGCAGCCUCAGUCGCGCGAUUGAGGAGAAGCUCCAGCGCAGCUCUUAGCAUCUGAAUUCCGGCGUCGUUUCUCUCUUUGAGACGUAGCUCCGUCAAACCAGCCCACUUCGCCGGCGCGGCCAUUGAUAUCUCAAUUAAUUUCUUGCCGAAACUCAGUGCCCUAAUUUUCACUCAAUUUUACUUACGAUUUCUUGUGGUUUUUGUGCAAGGGCAUUUCAUUAUCCCAAUAUUGAGCAAAGCUCGAAAACUUAAGGGAAUUGGUUGUCGAGCAAUUGAUGAAGCUCUUGGAUUAUCAGUCGUAAAGGCAGAUGUUACCAUCCCAUCCAUCAUCGCAGGAGGAUGUCUAUAGCAUUCGCUCACGAACAUUAAGGCAACCGCUUACCUUUGCCAGCGAUCAUCACGUCAGCGCAGGAACAAGGCAAUCGACCCUUUCGGCUCGACUGAACAGGGCAGCUGACCCUCCUCCAACAAAAGCUAAGUCCUUGCGUCUUCUCCUUUUAUUGCAUGAAUACAAUGGUGAUUGCGUACUAGAUAACAUUUGUGGGGUUGUGAUUCUCUUAACUGUUUAUGAUGAGACGUGGAGUUUGCUACUUGCACUAAAGAGAUAGAUAUGGUGUUAUGCAACGAUGAUACUAAACACUAGUUGAUACUACUAAAUUGCUCUGUACUCGCUUUAUAAGCUAUAUGAUGGGAGUUCUUAUGGCCUUUGGUUCUAAAACCAGUGAGAUACAUUAAAUAUGAAUCAUGUUUAUAAACUUGAAUAUUGGUUUAAUUGGUCGGGAUAUGGACAUAACAUGGUGUCAGAUGGGAUUUCGCUUAUAUAGCAGUGCUAAUUCUGCUCUAAACUGAUGAAGCAAUGUUGCAUGGAUGGUGAAUUGUUUAUUGUGACUUGCAUUAUUUUGGAAAUACUUUGUGGAUUUCUUGGAAUUAAAUUGAACUACCCUGACCUCACUAAUUCACUUACUGACAUCGAUUUGUUGAGGAACACAUUAUCUAAAUUUUUGAACUGAAAUUUACACUCAUGUUAC